AAGCAAUCCCCAACCCUAGCCGCCGCCAAGUCCCCAUCUGAAUCUGCAUCCUCUUCCUCCUCAACCUUCGGCGGAGAUGGUUUGGCGGCGAGUACGCGCUGUUCGACGCGGAGGUAGGCCUCCUUCUCCCGCUGCCGGCGGUAUCGCUGGUGGAGGCGGCGCCGUCGAGGCUGCGAGCGAGGAAGGAGGAGGUGGGGAAGAGUAGUUCAUAGAUCAGAUCGGCACCGACAGGCAGAGGCAGAGGAGGAGGCGAGGGUAGCCAGGCGUGGCGUACGUGGACCACUCCUUCUCCAUCUCCGACGAGGACGACCUUGUCGGCAGCGCCGUGGGAGGGCCCGGGGCGCGCCCAUCAUGGAGAUCGCCUUCGCGGCCGCUCUCCUCGCGUGCGGGGUGCUCGGCGCCAUCGGGGGCAUCCUCAUGGCCGCCAACCGCUUCGGCAGCGACCGCGAGAGAUCUCCUCUGGCAGCAGCAGCAGUGAGGAGGGCUCGACGGCGUGCGGCGGUGAGGAGGAGGUGAGCGGCGGUGGUCUGGUGCAGCGGCGCUAGGCGGCGAGGAGGAGGCGAGCGAUGGCGCCAGAUCCAUCCCACGGUACCCCCAUCCUCCUCCCCCUUCUUUCUCUUAUUUCUAAUAGAUUGGAUUAGUGCAAAUAGAAGCACGUCCUGCCUGCCUCCCAUCUGUCCUGGCCGUCGUCAUCCACUUCCUCGUCAUAGUUGCAGCGGUCUUCCCGUCUUUACAGUUCUCCGCAUCCCAGACGUGUAUCUACUACUGAAUUUGUUUUUUUUUUCUUUCAGAUUGAAAUCAGUUCUAUGAAUGCACUGAAGUUUUCAAUUUCACAACAUGGUCGAUGCGCUUCAUUAUAUCUGAAAUGAGUUAGGAACUUACUAUCAACCCCUUGUUUAUGGCUGUAAAUUUGCAAAAGAUAAUAAUUUUGGCUGGUAAGUACAAGUAUUUGGUGAUGUAUAUCCUUGCUCAUUUUCUUAAUCUGCAAAUGAACCAAGUAGAUUUGUUUGAUGUAUAUACUUGAUAACUUUCUUAAGCUGCAAACGGAGCCAAACUAGCAGUGUCGUUUUAUGGCUGUAAAUGCCAUUUUUGGUUUUGCUUCCAUGAUGAGCAGGUCUAGUCAGUAGAAUUUGUCUGUGUAUAUCUCUAACCACUUUAGUUGUUUGUGAAUCUAUCUAUAGUUUGGUGGAUGUGAAUUAUCUGAACUCAGAACAACUCUGAACUAGUUGUGCACUGCCUUGAUUUUUAGUUUCUUGUACAGAGGUUUUUGUCAGUACGUGUGAUAUGUAGAGCUAUUCCUGAACUAAGAUGUUUAAAGAUUAAUUGUACAUAACACAGAUCUUUGAUAGUUCUGUUUUGUUGCGUUUCUUUGCUUCAGAAACUGUGGAUUUCUUGCUCUGUCCUGCAAAAGGACCACAUUUAUUUUCUCCUUCAAUCUGUAGCAUCAGUUGCUUGCUUGCUUGGCCAAUGAAAUGAGGUGGGUUGGGGAUGGGGACAUUGAGUUUUGUUAGUGCAAUGUAUUAUGGGGACAUCAGAUUGGUGUUGCAAAGUAGCCCUAUCAUUCAAAAACUAAUAUCGUAUCUGUAGAUUGUUUCUUGUUGUUUCUCUAGCGCAUAAAAAAAUAAUCUAACACAUGGUAUUGUACUAUCAGGUUGCUGGGCUCAAACAUAUGCGAACUUUGAUUGAGUGGCCAAAAUGCUUUGGUGGCUGUUGGGUAUUGUCAUGUGCUUUUGAACAGGUUUUAAUUAUGUUGUAUGAGAUAUGCUAAAAAAUUAUGUUGUAUGAGAUGUGAAGGUUGUAAUGUGUUUAUAAUAUUUAUGUGCUGAUCUAUAACUAUUUUGUUACUGAUGAUGAGAGAAUGUCAACUGAUGAUCGGUAAUUAAUUUUGCU
rnacentral:sRNA from 1 species